rnacentral:lncRNA from 1 species
GCUAGAGAGUCUGGGCUAUGUGCUCAGGGUCAGGUCAGCAAGGUCAUUUCCUGGAGCCACACAGCGGUGGUCAUUUGUGGAGCUGUGUUGAGAAGCCCCAAAGGUCCUUGGUCCAAAGCUCCCUCAGAGAGGGUGGGGAAGUGCCUGGCAUGGGUGCUGCUGCAGUUGGAUGAUUGCAUGAUUAUGAUUCGCCCUGAGCCCAGGAGGAAGUUAAGCCCCAAAGCCACGUGGAUGGUGCAGGGAGAGGGGACGAUUCAUCCACUUACGGUGUUCAGGAACGUGGGCCUAGGGCAUGGGGGGUGUGCCCUCAGGAGGUAGUUCUCAUAGGGAAGGUGGUUCCAGAAGCCCCAGUGGGCCCAGCCCGUCUCCCUGCUUCUCAGCUCCCCUGUGAUCUUCCUCUGCUUGGGAUCUGCCAUCGCCAUGCGCUGCCUGCAUCAGAGGCCAAACCAAUGGAGUUGCCUGGUCUUGGACUUGACCCUCUAAACCUGUGAGCUGAAGAAACCUGUUUCUCUAUGUAAAGUUACUUUCCUUGGGUAUUGUGUUAUACUAGUGAAAAGCUGUGAACCAAGACCCGAGGACCCUGGGGAACUCAAGUGUAGUUUGGAAGAGGCAACCCAUUUCUUUCUCUCUCUUUCUUCUAAGAUUUAUUUACUUAUUUGAAAGGCAGAGUUUCAGAGGAGAGAGAGAGAGAGGGAGAAAGAGAGAAAGAGAGAGAGAGAGAGAGCAAGCGAUCUCCCAUCCACUGGUUCACUCCCUGAGUGCUGGGGCUAGGCUGAGGCCAAAGCCAGGAAUUAACUCAAUCCAGGUCCCCCAUGUAGGUAGCAGGAACCCAGUUAAUUCAGCCAUCACUGCUGCCUCCUGGGGUCUACACUGGCAGGAAGCUGGGGCUGCCGAUCAAACCCAGGUACUCCGAUGUGGGGCAUGGGCAUGGGCUUUGGCAGCCUUUUCCAAAUGUCCUGUGCAUACCUUCAACAAUGGUCUUCAUAGAGCUCAUGGAAAAAUAAAUAACACGAAGAAACUAGGAAUGGACUUCAGCAUUUUUCUUACCUGUUAAUUCCAUUUCUUCCCACAGGAUUUUUGAAGUCCCCCUCCUAUGAUUCACUCCCCAGAAGCUGAACCACGCGUUUAGCCUAGUAGUUAAGAUGCUUGCAGCCCACCCAUAGGGGAGUGUGGCUCCAGCCUCCUGCUAAUGCAGACCCCGGGAGGCAGCAGUGAGGGCUCCUGUGAUUUGUUCCCCACCACUCCAGUGGGAGAUCCAGGUGGAGUUUCCAGUUCCCAGUAUGGACCCAGCUGCUGUGGGCAGUUUGAGGGGUGAACCAGCAGCUGGAUCACCACCUGUCACAUCAAUAAUAAUAAUAAAAAAGCAACUUUGAGAGCA